AUACUUUUCUAGGCUUUUUGGUUAAAAUCAAGUGUAGUAUCGGUUCUUAUCACUUUGAUAUUUGAUAUGUAGAAUUUUAAGUCUACACAAUAUGAAGUUAAUUCUUUUUUGUCGAGAAGAAUCCCCAUAUGUAGCUUGCGGCAUGGGUUCUUUGUGUCGCCUUAGUGUUGCACUACUACUAGGGCUCGGCGCACCCCAA
rnacentral:snRNA from 1 species